UACGGAGGGGGCAAGCGUUAUUCGGAAUUAUUGGGCGUAAAGGGCGCGUAGGCGGCUAGAUGUGUCAAAGGUGAAAUCCCUCGGCUCAACUGAGGAACUGCCUUUGAAACUGUCUGGCUUGAGGCCGGGAGAGGGUAGCGGAAUUCCGGGUGUAGCGGUGAAAUGCGUAGAUAUCCGGAGGAACACCGGUGGCGAAGGCGGCUUCCUGGACCGACACUGACGCUGAGGCGCGAAAGCUAGGGGAGCAAACGGG
rnacentral:rRNA from 1 species